AGCUCCAAUAGCGUAUAUUAAAAUUGCUGCAGUUAAAGCGUCCGUAGUUGGAUUUCAUCCGAUCAGGUUAGAUGCGUGGGUACUUUUGUGCUCAACGCGCUUUCCGCUUCGGAUUGUGUGAGUAUUGGGCUUGUCCUAAUUCUCUCCCGUUACUUUGAGCAAAUUGGAGUGCUCCAACCAAGCCGAUGCUUGAACAGCUCAGCAUGGAAUAACAAGAUAGGACUUUGGUUCUUCUUGCUGGUGUCAUGGACCAAUAGUAAUGGUUGAUAAGGACAUACGGGGGCAUUUGUACUUGCUGGAGAGAGGUGAAAUUCUAAGACCCAGCAAAGACAAACAAGUGCGAAAGCAUUUGCCCAGUGUGUACCUG
rnacentral:rRNA from 1 species